rnacentral:rRNA from 1 species
ACAUACGACCAUAGAUGCAAGAAUAUAGAGGAUCCCGUCCGCUCUCCUGUACUCAAACUUGUAAUCGGCAGAUUAGUAGUUGGGUGGGUGACCACCAGCGAAUACCUGCUGUUGUAUGUU